GUAGUAUUGUUUGAAGUCCGGUAGUAGUGUGAUGCCUCCCACUUUGUCCUUUUUGCUUAGAAUUGACUUGGCUAUGCAGGCUCUCUUUUGGUUCCGUAUGAAGUUUAAGGUGUUUUUUUCCAGUUCUUAGAAGAAGGUCAUUGGUAGCUUGAUAGGAAUAGCAUUGAAUCUGUAAAUUACUUUGGGCAGUAUGGCCAUUUUCACAAUAUUGAUUCCUCCUAACCAUGAACAUGGAAUUCUCGAAUCGAUGAAUGCUGGACCAUCCCUGAGGCCUGCCGAGGAGACAUGAUGUGUAUUAACCAAAAUGGUGGGUAUUUAUGCAUCCCCCGAACAAACCCCAUGUAUCGAGGGCCCUACUCGAACCCCUAUUCGACCCACUACUCAGGUCCGUACCCAGCAGCUGCCCCACUGCUCUCAGCUCCAAACUAUUCCACAAUCUCCAGGCCUCUUAUAUGCCACUUUGGAUACCAGAUGAAGGCAACCAGUGUGUGGAUGUGGACAAGUGUGCAACAGAUUCCCACCAGUGCAACUCUACCCAGAUCUGUAUCAACAAUGAAGGCGGGUACACCUGCUCCUGCACCGAUGGAUACUGGCUACUGGAAGGCCAGUGCUUAGAUAUUGAUGAAUGUCACUAUGGUUACUGCCAGCAGCUCUGUGUGAAUGUUCCUUGAUCCUACUCUUGUACAUGCAACCCUGGUUUUACCCUCAAUGAGGAUGGAAGGUCUUGCCAAGAUGUGAACGAGUGUGUAACUGAGAGCCCCUGUGUGCAAACCUGCGUCAACACCUAUGCCUCUUUCGUCUGCCACUGUGACCCGGGAUAUGAACUUGAGGAAGAUGGUGUUCACUGCAGUGAUGUGGACGAGUGUAGCUUCUCUGAGUUCCUCUGCCAACAUGAAUGUGUGAACCAGCCUGGCACAUAUUUCUGCUCCUGCCCUUCAGGCUACAUCCUACUGGAUGACAACCAAAGCUGCCAGGAUAUCAAUGAAUGUGAGCACAGAAACCACACAUGCAACCUGCAGCAGACUUGCUACAAUUUACAAGGGGGCUUCAAAUGCAUUGACCCCAUCCGCUGUGAGGAGCCUUAUCUGAGGAUCAAUGAUAACCGCUGUAUGUGUCCUGCUGAGAACCCUGGCUGCAGAGACCAGCCCUUUACCAUCUUGUACCUGGACGUGGAUGUGGUGUCAGGACACUCUGUUCCCGCUGACAUCUUCCAAAUGCAAGCCACGACCUGCUACCCUGGGGCCUAUUACAUUUUCCAGAUCAACUCUGGGAAUGAGGGCAGAGAAUUUUAUGUGCAGCAAACGGGCCCCAUCAGCACCACCCUAGUGAUGACGCGCCCCAUCAAAGGGCCCCAGGAAAUCCAGUUGGACUUGGAAAUGAUCACUGUCAACACUGUCAUCAACUUCAGAGGCAGCUCUGUGAUCCGACUGUGGAUAUAUGUGUCGCAGUACCCAUUCUGAGCCUUGGGCUGGAGCCUCUGAUGCUGCCUCUCAUCAGCACCAAGGGACAGGAGAAGAGAGGAGAGGAAACAACAGAGAGAAUAAGAGUGAGACAGACGUUACGCAUUUCCUGCUGAAUGUUUCCCCAAAGAGUCAGCCCCGACGUCCUGACUCCCACCAGUACUAUUGCAGACCUGUCGCCUUGAAGGACAUGCCACCCCCAGUUCCUAUGAUGCAGUUAUCAAAAAGUAUUAUCACUGGCUCCCUGAUAUAAGAUUGUUGAUUUUUCAAGGCCUUCAGUUUAUUUCCAUGUUUUUUAAGGAACCUACAUUAGGUUUGUGGUGGUCUAUGUUCAAAGACUGCGAACAGCUUGCUGUCACCUCUUCCACUCCUUCUCUCACUGUGUUGCUGCUUUGCAAAGACCUGGGAGCUGGUGGGGAACGCUCGGAGUAGCUAGUUUGCUUUUUGCAUACAUUGAGAAGGCUAUGUAAACAAACCGCAGCAGUAUCGAAGGGUUUUCAGAGAAUGAAUUUCAAAACCAUGUCUGGUAUUUUCAGCCAUAAAAGAAGUUUGAAUUGUCCUUAAAUUAGUAUCACUGUUUAAUCCUGUCUUGUUCAUUUUGAGUAUUAAAAAAAAAUAAGUUGUAGAAUUCCUUCCAAAGGCCUUCAGACAUGUGCUAUGUUCUCUUUUCCCAAACCCAGCCUCCUCUCCAUUUUAGCACAAUGUUUUCUUUGAGGACUCCUUAAUCUUGCUUUCUUUAGAAUUUUUACCCAAUUGUAUUGGAAGGCAGAGGUCCGCAAACUGAUUAAAUAUUUGAAGAGAA